GAUGAACGCUGGCGGCGUGCCUAAUACAUGCAAGUCGAGCGAACAGACGAGGAGCUUGCUCCUCUGACGUUAGCGGCGGACGGGUGAGUAACACGUGGAUAACCUACCUAUAAGACUGGGAUAACUUCGGGAAACCGGAGCUAAUACCGGAUAAUAUAAUGAACCGCAUGGUUCAAUAGUGAAAGACGGUUUUGCUGUCACUUAUAGAUGGAUCCGCGCCGCAUUAGCUAGUUGGUAAGGUAACGGCUUACCAAGGCGACGAUGCGUAGCCGACCUGAGAGGGUGAUCGGCCACACUGGAACUGAGACACGGUCCAGACUCCUACGGGAGGCAGCAGUAGGGAAUCUUCCGCAAUGGGCGAAAGCUUGACGGAGCAACGCCGCGUGAGUGAUGAAGGUCUUCGGAUCGUAAAACUCUGUUAUUAGGGAAGAACAAAUGUGUAAGUAACUAUGCACGUCUUGACGGUACCUAAUCAGAAAGCCACGGCUAACUACGUG
rnacentral:rRNA from 1 species